AACGAACGCUGCGGCAUUCCUUACACAAGCAAGGCGAACCAAACCUUCGGGUCUAGGGGCCCCAGGGUGCGUUACGCGGGGGAAACUGCCCUUAGGUUUGGAAUAACCUCCCCGAAGGGGUUCUAAAACCGGGUAAAGUUCUUCGACCAAAGAUUUAUCGCCUUUGGAUGGGCCCGCGUUGGAUUAGCUAGUUGGUAGGGUAAAAGCCUACCAAGGCGACGAUCCAUAGCUGGUCUGAGAGGAUGAUCAGCCACACUGGGACUGAGACACGGCCCAGACUCCUACGGGAGGCAGCAGUGGGGAAUAUUGGACAAUGGGCGAAAGCCUGAUCCAGCAAUGCCGCGUGAGUGAUGAAGGCCUUAGGGUUGUAAAGCUCUUUUACCCGGGAUGAUAAUGACAGUACCGGGAGAAUAAGCUCCGGCUAACUCCGUG
rnacentral:rRNA from 1 species